UCAACCUAACAAAAAUAAAAAAUAUUAUACAAAUGGAAGUAAGACUGUGGGGGAUUGUGAUUUUAUUUUUCUAUUAAACAUACUUUUGGGUAUUUUGUCGCUUUUGGUAAAAAUCACCAGCUACCCAAAAAAUCCUUGUCAUAUUUUAAGCUCCCAUAAUCUAAACAAAGAAGAUUCUGAAUACUAAGGCUCUUUUAAACUACAAAUAUUACAUUUGCUUUGAAUAGAAACUAUCCCAUAAAAAGGAAGUAGAUAAAAUAAAACCAGGGAAAGACAUUAAGAAAAACAUGUCAGAUAGCAAUGGGGGGAAUAAGACAAACGAGAGAUAUGCUAAUGCACCUAGGAAAUAAGAUGAAGUGUAUGCACAAAACCGUAGAGAACAUCAUAGAGUGAAUUAAUGUUCUUUAUAAUUCAAGCAAAGUAUGUAUUACUCUAUAUAUAACUUUUUUCCAACAUUAAUUACAAAUUCAAUCAAGUUAUCCCAAAUCGUACACCAUCCAUUCUGUCUUGCUUUGUUCUACUACAAAUUCUAUUUUUAAAGAUUUAUUUAUUUAUUUGAAAGGCAGAGUUACAGAAAGAGAUAGGAGAGACAGAGAGAGAGAGACAGACAGACAGAUCAUCCAUCUACUGGUUCACUCCCCAAAUGGCCCCAACAACUGGAGAAGGGCUGGACUAGACCAAAGCCAGGAGCCAGGAGCCAGGAGCUACUUCCAGGUCUCUUACAUGUGGUUGAAGGGGCUAAAGGCCUUGGGCCAUCUUCUGCUGCUUUCCCAGGCGCAUUAGUAAGAAGCUAGAUUGGAAGUGGAGCAUCCGAGACACAAACGGGCACCCAUAUAGGACACCAGUGCUGCAGGCAGUGGUUCAAUCCACUGUGCCACAGCACCAGCCCUUCUACUACAAAUUCUAUAGAAAUUUGUAUUUGUGAAGCCGAUGUUGUGGCAAAACAAGCUUCCUAGCCACAGUGUCAGAUGGUAUUAUUCAGAAAGUUAUAUUCUCUAAACCAGAACCAUAAAUCAAUAUCUGGCUCUAUCACACUAAUAACUAAUAGAUACAGGAGCCAAGAGAUAAGGGAGAAAACAGGAGUCCUCAUAAGUAUUCCUUUCUCACAAUGUGUAUAUAUUCUGCUUUUUGUUCCCAUUAUUCUACUAUAUUCUACUAGGUUGGAAUUCACAGUAGGCAGGGAAAAAAAUGUUUCUACCUGGGAAAGGAAGAGAACACGAACUGAAAUUACCACUCAGUUAUAUUAAGUUUUUCAUCCUUCUACAUAUUCCCAGGGAAUCCACUGUACUGACCAACUAACUGACUAUCAAGAGAGAUAUGGAUAUUAUAUACAAAAUGCAAACAACAAGGAAUACAUGGAAGACCCUGGGAGACAAUGGUAAUCACUCAAGUAAUUGGGUUCCUGCCACCCACAUUGGAGACUUGGAUUGCAUUCCCAGUUCCUAGCAUCAGCCCAGCUCAGCUCCAGUAACUAUGGGUAUCUGGGAGUGAAUCAGCAGGGAAAUCAAUAAAGAGAUCAGGAAAAAUGUGCAUUACUCAAAACCAAAAAAAAUACAAACAAGAAUUGUAGCAACAAGGCAGCUGAAUAAUGCUCCAGUGACUAUCUCCCCCAAGAAAGAUACCAAUUUAAACAGCUAUGAACACAUGAAGCACAAAGUCAUCUUCACAACAGUUACAGAAGCCAGGUGAGAAACCACAGUGCCUGGUUUUAGUAUGGUAAUAAAAAAAAAAGCCUGCAGGAGCCGGUGCUGUGGCUUAGCGGGUAAAGCUGCCACCUGCAGUGCCAGCAUUCCAUAUGGGUGCUGCUUCAAAUCCCAGCUGCUCCAAUCCAAUCAAGCUCUCUGCUGUGGCCUGGGAAAGCAGUAGAAGAUGGCCCAAGUCCUUGGGCCCCUGCACCCACGUGGGAGACCCGAAGAAGCUCCUAGGCUCCUAGCUUCAGAUCGGCCUAGCUCCAGACACUGCAGCCAACUGGGGAGUGAACCAACGGAUGGAAGACCUUUCUCUCUCUGCCUCUCCUUUCUCUGUGUACCUCUGCCUUUCAAAU